rnacentral:tRNA from 1 species
GGGCCCGUCGUCUAGCCUGGACUAGGAUGCGGGGUUCGGGACUCCCCGUGACCCGGGGUUCAAAUCCCCGCGGGCCCA